CAAUCUCCAAACUUAAUCUAAGUUCAGAUUGUAGGCUGCAACUCGUCUACAUGAAGUUGGAAUCGCUAGUAAUCGCUGGUCAGCAGUACAGCGGUGAAUUCGUCCCUGGGCCUUGUACACACCGCCCGUCACACCAUGGAAGUUGGUCAGGCUGGAAACUAAUAUUAAAUUAGUAGUUAAGGUGGGGCAAGCGACUGGGGUGAAGUCGUAACAAGGUAGCCGUACUGGAAGGA
rnacentral:rRNA from 1 species